rnacentral:rRNA from 1 species
UAACACAUGCAAGUCGAACGGUAGCACAGAGAGCUUGCUCUCGGGUGACGAGUGGCGGACGGGUGAGUAAUGUCUGGGAAACUGCCUGAUGGAGGGGGAUAACUACUGGAAACGGUAGCUAAUACCGCAUAACGUCGCAAGACCAAAGAGGGGGACCUUCGGGCCUCUUGCCAUCAGAUGUGCCCAGAUGGGAUUAGCUAGUAGGUGGGGUAACGGCUCACCUAGGCGACGAUCCCUAGCUGGUCUGAGAGGAUGACCAGCCACACUGGAACUGAGACACGGUCCAGACUCCUACGGGAGGCAGCAGUGGGGAAUAUUGCACAAUGGGCGCAAGCCUGAUGCAGCCAUGCCGCGUGUAUGAAGAAGGCCUUCGGGUUGUAAAGUACUUUCAGCGGGGAGG